CCGUGGUCCGGAAGGAAGUUCCCUGUGCGCAGGUGCCCGGGCUGGCGCCAGCAAGGCGACUAGCUUCAGGCAGCCGUGGGCGGAGAGAUGGGUUUGAGCACACGUGUUCGCUUGUGUUUAUUUCCUAAAUUUGUAAGAAAAUGGAGACCAUCACAGGAAACCACACCUGGACACAAUGCAGAAAUAAACCAGUGGGUUGUGAGGAGCCCAGCACCAAUGGGUACAUCUACAUCCCAGCUCCUGUGUCUAGAUCAGGUCUCUAUAGUGGUGCCUUGAAGGCAUCAGUCAAGAGAAGAGAAGGGGAUUACAUAUCUUCCUGGCCUAGCAUAUUCUCUACACCUGGGAAUUGAACUCAGUGGAUUCUUAGUACUCAAUGUCACUGUCAUAGCCUUGAGAUUUGAUCCAGUGCAGCUGUAUGGGGCCCUGACUUAGGCGUCUGGAGUUUCUGAUCACACACUAACCAUUUCGUUAGUGUCCUUGGUACUAAAGGUACUCAUCUAUCAUAAGCCAAGUGCCUUGAGCCUGGUAGGACUGGACCCAGUUGCCUUUAUAGCUGAUGGCCUGCCUAUUCUGUAUCUUCAGUGCAGCUGCCUGCUUCCCUGAUGGAGUCUACAUCCUUAGAGGUGCACUUGCUGCCUGCUGUUGCCAUUUAUCCUCAGGGCUCCAGAGGACAUACAAUAUGACCUUUUCCUCUGCCUCAGAAAUUCAACAUUCCUAUUAAAGUGGAACAGAUGCUGUAAUUAAGAAAGGAGGUGAGGGGACCUUGAACUCAGCUGGUAAUGAAAUGUGCACAGGUCUGGAAAGCAUAAAGUUCAACCUCCAGGUCCCAUAGGCAGCAGUAUAACAAGAAGUAAAUAUUUGCUGCUGUAGAGAAUGUCCACCAAACUGCUGGAAAGACAUAUUCUAAGUGUAGAGCUGUCUGUAAGAUGCUCAGUAAGUGUCAGGGCUGAAGUUUUCUAGAUUUUCACACAAGGUGACCUGGCUUUUUAGUGAUCGAAUGGCUGUUGACUUAUCCUUGUUCCUUGUAACCCCUCAUCUGUAGGCUCAAUAAUCCCAAGAAAAAAGUCAUUGAGCCUGGACAUUGGUUCAUAGAUUUUCUUGUCUAUUGUGGUUUCUGUUUCUGGAGUGAGUUGAUUGGCUAUGUGUGUUGGGGCCUGUCCCAAUGAAACUCUGCCAUAGGAGACUUGCCCCCCAGUGUCCAGGCUUCUCUGCCUCCCAGUGUCCAGGCUUCCCUGCCUCCCAGUGUCCAGGCUUCCCUGCCUCCCAGUGUCCAGGCUUCCCUGCCUCCCAGUGUCCAGGCUUCCCUGCCUCCCAGUGUCGAGGCUUCCCUGCCUCCCAGUGUCCAGGCUUCCCUGCCUCCCAGUGUCC